rnacentral:rRNA from 1 species
AAAACGGGUGGUAAUGCCGGAUGCUCCGACUCCUCGCAUGGGGUGUCGGGAAAGAUUUCAUCGGUAUGGGAUGGGGUCGCGUCCUAUCAGGUAGUCGGCGGGGUAACGGCCCACCGAGCCUACGACGGGUAGCCGGCCUGAGAGGGCGACCGGCCACAUUGGGACUGAGAUACGGCCCAGACUCCUACGGGAGGCAGCAGUGGGGAAUAUUGCACAAUGGGCGCAAGCCUGAUGCAGCGACGCCGCGUGCGGGAUGACGGCCUUCGGGUUGUAAACCGCUUUUGAUCGGGAGCAAGCCUUCGGGUGAGUGUACCUUUCGAAUAAGCACCGGCUAACUACGUGCCAGCAGCCGCGGUAAUACGUAGGGUGCAAGCGUUAUCCGGAAUUAUUGGGCGUAAAGGGCUCGUAGGCGGUUCGUCGCGUCCGGUGUGAAAGUCCAUCGCUUAACGGUGGAUCUGCGCCGGGUACGGGCGGGCUGGAGUGCGGUAGGGGAGACUGGAAUUCCCGGUGUAACGGUGGAAUGUGUAGAUAUC